rnacentral:tRNA from 1 species
CUUANNUUCACUUGGCNUUCCAAUUCCAAGACCAGCAAUACGAAAACUGCGGUUGUAAUUCAACUAUAAAAACC